rnacentral:rRNA from 1 species
GAUGAACGCUGGCGGCGUGCCUAAUACAUGCAAGUCGAGCGCGAGAGUGAGGAGCUUGCUCCUCAUAAUCGAGCGGCGGACGGGUGAGUAACACGUAGGCAACCUACCCUUGAGAUUGGGAUAACUACCGGCAACGGUAGCUAAUACCGGAUACGACUUCUCCACACAAGUGGAAUGGUUAAAAGGCGGAUUUAUCUGCCGCUCAUGGAUGGCCCUGCGGUGCAUUAGCUAGUUGGUGGGGUAGUGGCUCACCAAGGCGACGAUGCAUAGCCGACCUGAGAGGGUGAUCGGCCACACUGGGACUGAGACACGGCCCAGACUCCUACGGGAGGCAAGAGUAGGGAAUCUUCCGCAAUGGACGCAAGUCUGACGGAGCAACGCCGCGUGAGUGAUUAAGGGUUUCGGCUCGUAAAACUCUGUUGUUAAGGAAGAACACUUGAGGUAGUAACUGGCCUUGAGAUGACGGUACUUAACCAGAAAGCCACGGCUAACUACGUGCCAGCAGCCGCAGUAA